UUUAACGUCCAAGCUUUUCCCGGGCUGGUCCCCUUGCUGUAGCCUCAGCCCUUUCUUCUGGAUUCUGAAUUAGUAUGUUUUUCUCAGUCAAACAUCCUUCUCUCUUCUCACAUAUGUGGCUUGCUUCCUCCACCCAGGAAAGACAGAUUGCAAAAUGCCCCUUCAGGUCUCCAAAUAUUCAGAAUAAAUUUAGUUUAUGGUCUGGAUGUCCCAUUGAUUUGUAAGAAUUUCUCACAGACUUAAUUAUACCCCAACGUGAAUUCAGAUAGCAUGUCCCAAACCAUAUAGUUCUGUCUCAGAGUACAUGCCUUUGUUCCUCUACACAUCACUAAUGAGCACACUUGUCAGCGUGUGAUCCAUUUUAUGUUCUGAAAUCCUAAGAAAAGGAGUUUCAGAGCUCUGUAUUGUAAUUAAGAUUCCAGCAGCAUUUUCCAGAACUCUGUAUGAUUAAGAGUCUACACUAAGUCCCAAUCCAAGGAGAAUGUUUGUUCUCUCAUUACCGCAGUCAUUUCCCAUCAUAUGCUCAAGGCCGCUCUGAAUCCCACGCGGGCUGAGUUAGAAGAAUGAUUAAGACAGCAUCUCAAAGAGCUUGCUGAGACCUACACCUGGAUCUUCUCUGAGAUCCAACUCUUUUUUUUUUUUUUAAAUUAAGCUUUUCUUCUAACUAUUAUACUGCAAAAGAAAUGCAGAAGGUAACUGGCCCAGAAAGUGUGUCUGCCCAGUGACUGUUAGUUCCUGAUGGUUCACUAUUCCAAGUAGGGAGGAAAAACUUUGAAGGUCGAUAAACAGAGUGCCCUCUGUAGUCCAAAAUGGAGUGUGGGUGCGUCCCACUACCCCGAGUCAUAAGUGCAAAUCAUUGCAGUGUGUAUGAAAACAUGACCUAAGCCACAGUCCCUUAAUCCUGCCAGAUUUAUAAAAAUGAAGAGCAUCUAAUAAUUAUGUGGGAGACUGAAGGACAGAUGAAUCUGGCUUCUGCGCUAUGGGGAAAAAAAAGCACAACCUCCCAGGCAUGUUAAUUUUUGACAAAUAAACCAUAAACCGUGACGGGAUUAUCACUGGAGACCCUCAGUUCAUGUUGCAUGAACUACCAGCUGGGACUCCUUCCACACUCUUCAGAAACCAUUAAUUUUGAUUAGAACCUGAGUGAUUUGUGUUAAAAUUUUCUUCAGGUAAAUAGAACCUUGGGUUCACUGUAAGAAUUCAGAUCAGCACUUUCUACCUAACACCUGCCACUGCCUUCCAUUUUAGAGGUGGACUUCACUCAGGAAACAGACCGUUUGCCUGGCGUCUCCACUGCCUCCUGUUGGCUGUGUGUCACUGAGCCUUUAAGAAGUAAUUUGAGGCUCUUAACAUUUCAUUAUUUUAUAAUAGAGGAAAUGGGGCUCCGUCUUUGAAAUCAUUCUGGGGUGAAGACACAAAGGUUAGGCUUAUUAAUCUCCUCUGACCUUCCUUGUUCAAUAUUCUCCCUGUUAACACCCCUAGUAACAUAAUAGUCCACUUUUAUAUAAAGGAUGAUGCCACACACUGUAUCUGUAAACUACAGAUCUAUGAGUAAACCUACCACGGCAGUUUUAACC
rnacentral:lncRNA from 1 species